UAUAUCAGUGACCAGCUGGGCAAGGUCUUUGCCCUCAUGGAACUGGCAUUAUGGGGUGUGUGUGUGGGCGUAUGAGGGACGUGAGGUUGGACAGGAGGCAGCGGGAGGACCAUUUGCAGGGUGUUACAGGCCCAGGAAAGGGGUCCAGCUGCCACCAUCUGAUUUAUACCCCCGCAAACCUUCCCACAAACACUCCUGGGUUUGGGGCAGGGAGGGAUUCAGUCUUCCUUUUCUCAGGGCAGUGCUUUCCCGCCACUGUCAUGUCCUAGCCUAUAGAGAACACACUAUUUUCUGGCAUGUGGCUGGAAGGGCCGGUUCCAGGGGCUCCCAACCAGCACUGGCCCAGCAAACUUGUAACCCAGUCACAGCAGCUCUGCCUGUGGGAAGUUCUGCUUCGGGGGAAAAUCUGCCAGCUGGAGCCCUGCGUGGGCUGCAAGGGGCCUCCUGAAAGAUGGAAAGUCACACUGUGUGACAUGCAGGAAGCACUCUUGGGCAGGGGGGCGGGGGGGAGUCAGGGUGUGCAUCCAGGCAUCAGAGAUAGAAGAUUUCUAGAAUUCAGGGCUAGGAGAGAUUUUAGAAUCGAUCUUAUUCAAUCCUCUUCCCUCCCUCCUUCCAUGGAGGACUAAGAAAUGAGCCGAACGGCAUUGCUUGGGCACAAGUGUGGAUCUGCCAGGUGCUGGGUGACUGGGACCUGGUCCCCAGUAUGGGACCAAGGAUACAGGCAGGGCAGAAAGCCUCUCAUAUAGCAGUUGGAUGUCUAAGCAGGUGAUCAUUGGGCUUGCAGGUUCUAGUUCUCUGUGUAUGUGUUUAAGUAAUUCAUUUUCUUUGUGUUUUACAGGAGGAUUCCUUCAAGAUGGAUGGAGGACCAAAAGAACAACAACAACAGUUUCUUGGGCGGAAGUAGUUGCCAGCAGAGCUAGAGCUCAUUUAGUCACAUGACCCUCUCUGUGGCCUGCCUGCUCGCAUUCCCUCCCACCUCCUUCCUCAGAAGCCCUAAGAUGGUCUCAGAGACCUCAGGGGCCCCAGUUUAUUCUCCAGCCUCGGCCCUGAUAGGAGGCAAAGAUGAUUUUUCUUGUGGGCUUUAGCUUUUUGCUUUCCUACGAGAGCGUGCUGUGUGACCAAGUGACCCAGAGCCCCCUGGACCAGACAGUGGCCAGUGGCAGUAGUGUGAAGCUGUUCUGUACCUAUUACACUACAGAAUCAAACCCUGAUUUGUACUGGUACCGGAUAUGGCCAGGUCACUCCUUUCAGUUUAUCUUUUACCGGGAUAAAAUUCUAACCCACAACGCAGAUUUUACUAGGGAUUGGUUUUCUGUGCUGCAUAGUCCGUCCCAGAGAACCUUCAACUUGGUGAUCUCCCUGGUGGAACCUGAAGACAGCACCACUUACUACUGUGCCAUGAACCCCCACAGUGACUCAGGUGCCCAGGAAGUCUACGUAAACCCCGGGCACAGCCCCCUCUAGCUACCUCUUAAGGCAGCUCACGUCCCCAGACAUGGGAUCCUUCUUCCCAGUUAUUUUGUGCUCUGGCCUGGCCUUCAGAGGUGCCCGAGGGGGUCUGCUGAAUAAUAAAAAGCCAGCUCCCCCUGGCUUCAGAUGGAGCAGAGCCCCUCCCCCCUUCUGACUCUGUGGGCCCUGGUGGUGGCAGAGGGGGAGAGAGAUGUCUGAAGAAUCUCAUCUUUGCAUCCCCAGUGCCCAGCUCACUCAUGCCUCACAGAGCAGGGCUGACAAGUACGAGUUGUGAGUCCUAUGAAGAUACCAGAAUGGGUCAGGUGAAAGGCCAGGCUAGGGAGAACUCAUCAGGAGGGUCUUUAUUUUAGUCUCCAUCAUUUAUCCCUUAUUGUGAUUCAUUCUGUUUUCUUUUGAAGACUCAAAAUUAGACCCAAAGUUACUUCAAAAAAUUUCCCGAUUCACCUUAUUUCUGCGUCUUCUUGUAGAGUUACCUCAUUUUUCUCGAAUGCUCUUUGGCACCACCAUUUUAUUUACUUUAUUUGGAGAACAUUUUUCUUUCACUGGAGAGCCUUGAGAUACUCCCAGCAGGUUGUCUGUGAUUCCCAGAACACCAGCUUCAAAGUCCCUGAGUCUGGAGCUCAGGGGUGUCUCCAAGGAAGACCAUUAUCUUCAGGGAAAGUCAAGUAUGUGAUGUCAAAAUAGAAAAAUCCUAAGCCCUGGGAGCGGGUCCCUCUUUCCUUCAUUUCUGUUGAAUUCUCUGCCUUAAAACAAUGAGUAGAGUUGGGAGACGUAACCUAGGAGAGGGUAGAAGCCUUAGCUAUUGCAGCACUGGAGCCCAGA